rnacentral:rRNA from 1 species
UACGGAGGAUCCGAGCGUUAUCCGGAUUUAUUGGGUUUAAAGGGUGCGCAGGCGGGAGAUUAAGUCGGCGGUGAAAUUUUGCAGCUCAACUGUAAAAGUAGCCUUCGAUACUGGUUUCCUUGAGUGUGGAUGAAGUAGGCGGAAUUUGUGGUGUAGCGGUGAAAUAGCUUAGAUAUCACGAGGAACUCCGAUUGUUGCAGGCAGCUUACUAAACCAACUACUGACGCUCAGGCACGAAGGCGUGGGGAGUCAAACAGGAUUAGAUACCCCGGUACGGUCCCU